rnacentral:tRNA from 1 species
CCCGCCCUAGCUCAGUGGUAGAGCGCCCGGCUGUAGACCGGGUGGUCGCUGGUUCAAGUCCGGCGGGCGGGACCA